CCUACGGGUGGCAGCAGUGAGGAAUAUUGGUCAAUGGGCGCAAGCCUGAACCAGCCAAGUCGCGUGAGGGAAGACGGCCCUACGGGUUGUAAACCUCUUUUGCCGGGGAGCAAGCCUGAGCACGUGUGCCCAGGCGGAGAGUACCCGGAGAAAAAGCAUCGGCAAACUCGGUGCCAGCACCCGCGGUAAUACGGAGGGUGCGAGCGUUAUCCGGAUUUAUUGGGUUAAAAGGGUGCGCAGGCGGACUGUUAGGCCGGCGGGAAAAAAUCAGGGCUAAACCCUGUCGGGCCGUCGGAACUGGCAGUCUUGAGUGGGCGAGAGGUAUGCGGAAUGCGUGGUGUAGCGGUGAAAUGCAUAGAUAUCACGCAGAACGCCGAUUGCGAAGGCAGCAUACCGGAGCCCAACUGACGCUGAGGCACGAAAGCGUGGGGAUCGAACAGGAUUAGAUACCCUUGUAGUC
rnacentral:rRNA from 1 species